CAAACAAUGAUUUUAAUGAAUACACGCGUGGGAAGACAACUCUGUACGCAGACAGGAAGUAGUCUUCGACUUAAUCAAAGCAUGAACAGAUAUUUUAUAGCAUCAGGGUUUGAUUUACUGACGCCCCUUCAUGCGUCACCGGUACAUUUUAUACAUAGAUCAGAUCAACAUCAUCAUGACUUUUCACCCAGAAAAUCAUCUUCUAUUUUCAUGGCUUGGUACUUUCUGUGUACCUUUCAGUUCUUAUCCUAUUCCUCUUUCUUGCCGAGACACCAAGAAACGGUUCCUCUUUUACCAAGACAAUUUUGCAGUUACAGCCAAACAUCCUCUAAAUAAAUCUAAUUUAAAGUGUGUGUGUCACGACCUCACUCAGCCUCGAUGUCACCUCUCGCACUUCUGACCUUUUACCAGACCAGAAGCUCACUGAGACUAUGUGUAUGUCUUCUACUAAAUAAAUAUUUUAACCAAGAACCUCUACUAAAACCUUAAUAUAAAAUGAUCUGAUAUAUAAGUGUUUUGUAAGCAUGUAUUGCAAUUCCUUCUAUGGCUCCAAGUCACUUGCACAAUAGAUUGUCCGAACAUCGCGCCGAACAAAGCUUCCGACCCCCAAUUAAUUGACCGAGCUCCAACUCUUCAAUAAGCACAGAUAUGCAUUGUGUAUAAAAUAGUCAUAACUGCUUAAGGCCUUCUUAAAGCUAUCUGUUACAUUGUUAAAGCCUCGUCUUAGCCUGCUGCUCAAAAUAACUUCCUGCUUUCACUUCUGCAUACAACUUCCUGUCAGCCUGCAACUCAGUCUUUCUGAAAGAGACACUGUUUAAACCUCUGAAUGCAAUAUCCAUGCUGCAGAUUAUAUUAUUAAUGCAAUGGUAAUAAUGACAAUUAUUUAACAAUAGCAGUAAAAUAAUUUCCCUUCUCGACACUCCCUCUUUUGACCUCUGGAACACCAGAGGUCACAAUACAUUGUGUCCUCACGCAGACCCUUCUCUGGUGGUCUCGAACCUCGAGAUCUCCAGGAUCCUCGCCCCUCCUGUGGUCGCCGAGAUCGAUCUUCUGCAAAAGAAACAAAACACCUUUUCCUGCAUCUCCCUAACUUAUCCUAUCUGGGACUCUUUAAUCAAAAGCCUGAUCCUAAUUAUCUUCUUAACUUAUUAACUUGUAUUUAUGUAUACUCUUCAACGUUACUCAUCCCUUUAGAACUCUUUAAGCCCUGCUUUCACGUCCGGUUGCUCGCUCUAUUUUUCCCUUAUCUGAUCAUCAACAUCCUGUGCACAAAUUGUCGCUGCUGCAAGUUCCUCUACUCUAAAAGAAAACAACCACUUUAAUCAAUUAAGUUUAAGCAUAUAAGCAAUUACUCCUGUAUACAUUUCAUCAUAGCUAAAUGCUGCCUUGAAACAAUUCCUAUGUGUUAACUUCAUUUUAACCUCACAUUACCUAUGUUAUAACCCAUUUUGGUAUAGCCUUUUUAUUUCAUUUGCCCCCUUUAAUGUAACAAUACCUUCUAAUUCUAAUUUAUCAGACUUAACCAAAAUAUAUGCUUUCCUUCCCCUUUGGUCCUUCUUUUAAGUUCAGUUAAAAGCUAAAUGAAUUUAAGGCCUUUUGCCUGGAAUCAAUACUGUCAUGUGUGUUUCUUAACUCUGUGUCUGUAAGCGUGUGCAAUCCUUCAUGAACUCAUAUUAUCCUCACAGUAGAUUGGCUAAUCAUAGCGCUAGCCAAAGGCUCGUGACCCUCCAGAGACAAAUUUGAGCCACAACUCCUUUAAAAGCACAAAAUGCAAUAUGUAUAAAAAUCAUUUCUAUUUAUAAGCUCCCCCUUUAUCCUAAAAAUACCUCCUAUGUAAUAUCUGUAUGUGUAAGCCUACAUUAUAACCACUACUUCUAGAAAUCAAAAAGAAAUCAAAGCUGUUCUACUCCUUCAACCCUCACUAAUUUUCCCUCUAAGAUUUAUUCACAGCUUUGAAAACCGGCAUUGUAUCUUCUAAACAGGAUUCAGUUCUGUCAUGGUCCUGGGCCAUGUUGGCCCAGUAUUCUUGAUUCCUUGUAUUUUCGCUCCUUAUUUAGGCCAGGUUUUCUCAGGUGUCCUAUUGUGGUGUUCCCUAAGUGUUUUUUCCCUUUGUGACUCUUACCCCCUUGUGCCCCUCUGUGUAUUUAUGAGCUCUCGUCUCUCUUUGUGUUUAUUCCAUGUUUCCCCCAGCCUGUUAUGUCUGUGUUCUCCCCGUGCUUUCUCUCCUCCUAUCUGAACCUCUGUGUACUUCCUGUUUUACUUUGACAGUCUCUCGUCAGUAUGCGUAAUGUUGUGUUCACUCCUGCCCUGUCUCGUUAUGUUUAUCAGUGUCACCUGUGUUCUCCACCUGUGUGUAAUCUCCCUGUGUUCUCUGGGUGUAUUUAAGUUGUGUCUUCUGUUAUGGUAGUUGCUGGUUCGUCUGUGUUGUUUCCCCUCGGUCUCCCUGCGUCUCGUUUCUGGUUUGUGUUAUUAGCUUACCCAGUUUAGGUUUCCGGUUUCUUGUUUUUCCACCAGUGCUGUUUUGUGCCCACCGUUGUAAAUAAAUAUUCACCUGCACCAGAGCUGCCGCCUUUUGGGUCCUUUUCUACAACUCCACACGGCUUGCCUCGCAAACCGUGACAAGUUCACUUUUAAUCCUUUAACCUUAACUUAAAAUAACAGUUUCAGUUUUACCAUAUCCAAAUGAUCAAAAACCCAAAAGGUCCUAAAAUGAUCCUAAAUUAUUAAACAAUUAAAUUAUUAAACCCUAAACCCCCCUUUAUCUUGAUACAUUUCAUGUGUCAAGAUACUAUACAAAACUUAAACAUGCUCAGUUUCCCCACUCAUGAUCCAAUCUAUGUCAUAAAAAUAAACUUAAAACAGAACAGUUAUCAGUCAUGUGUUUCUUCAAUUAAUGGUGACUGAGUUACAUCAAAAAAUAUUUCCCCUUUAGCAUUUGGCAUUCUCCCAACAAUAUACUAUAAUCCCAUAAUCUAACCCCAGUCAACAAAACAAAAAUUUUUCUGGUAAAAGCAAAUUGUUUGUCCACAUUAAUUCAUCCUCACUCACAUUCAGUCACACAUUCACUCACAUGCAGUCACACCAUGUAUUUGCUGAUAGUGGAGCUUCCCGCACGAUCAGAUACUCCACCUUCAGCAAAAUGAGCUCAGUCAUUUUUUAUUUUCCAUAGGAAAAUAUUUCUUUAUGCUUUUGGACUGGAUUGACUCGCAUAAAAUCCUUUUUACAGGGACUUACGACCUGAAUAGUCCCCACAGGUAGCUCUCCUCAGCCAAUUGUAAUCUGGAAAGCCGCCUUAUAUUUGCUCUUCCCGAGAAUUUUCAGCGCCGUUAUUCACUGUUCCAGGCCUGCUUAAAACAAAAAUGGAAAAAAUAGAGCUGAUUGUUAGCUCAUAAAAACAAAACAAAAUCACCUGACAGGUUUUCUUUAAGUGCACUGUUACAAAAUAAUGGGCCCAAUUUUAGACAUGUCCAUGUUUCCUAAAACUCCCUCUAUUUAAAACAAAAACACCAACAACCCAAACCUAACUGACCGAAUCAACCCAUUACCACAACAACCUCAACAACCUUAAACACACAAGUAUUUGCCACCACAUAAUUUCACCUCCUCAAUACACCGAAAGUCUCAUUAAAACCACACAAUUUGCAAACAAAAAUCACCCCCUUAUACUCUUAAAUUCAGCAUAAGACCCCUUACGACAUCAUAUAAUCACUAAACUAUAAAUUCCCUACCCCAAUCUGCACUUCUCGUCUCUGCUAUGCUUCCUCUUCCUGAAAGUCACAGUCACACACACACUCAGGAA
ensembl:lncRNA